rnacentral:rRNA from 1 species
AUUGAACGCUGGUGGCAUGCUUUACACAUGCAAGUCGAACGGUAACAGGCCGCAAGGUGCUGACGAGUGGCGAACGGGUGAGUAAUGCAUCGGAACGUGCCCAGUCGUGGGGGAUAACGCAGCGAAAGCUGCGCUAAUACCGCAUACGAUCUAUGGAUGAAAGCGGGGGACCGUAAGGCCUCGCGCGAUUGGAGCGGCCGAUGUCAGAUUAGGUAGUUGGUGGGGUAAAGGCUCACCAAGCCAACGAUCUGUAGCUGGUCUGAGAGGACGACCAGCCACAUUGGGACUGAGACACGGCCCAGACUCCUACGGGAGGCAGCAGUGGGGAAUUUUGGACAAUGGGCGCAAGCCUGAUCCAGCAAUGCCGCGUGCAGGAAGAAGGCCUUCGGGUUGUAAACUGCUUUUGUACGGAACGAAAAGGCUCUGGAUAAUACCUGGGGCUCAUGACGGUACCGUAAGAAUAAGCACCGGCUAACUACGUGCCAGCCGCCGCGGUAACAC